AACGAACGCUGGCGGCAGGCCUAACACAUGCAAGUCGAGCGGACCCUUCGGGGUUAGCGGCGGACGGGUGAGUAACGCGUGGGAAUAUGCCCUUCUCUACGGAAUAGUCCUGGGAAACUGGGGGUAAUACCGUAUACGCCCUUUGGGGGAAAGAUUUAUCGGGGAAGGAUUAGCCCGCGUUGGAUUAGGUAGUUGGUGGGGUAAUGGCCUACCAAGCCGACGAUCCAUAGCUGGUUUGAGAGGAUGAUCAGCCACACUGGGACUGAGACACGGCCCAGACUCCUACGGGAAGCAGCAGUGGGGAAUCUUAGACAAUGGGGGCAACCCUGAUCCAGCCAUGCCGCGUGAGUGAUGAAGGCCUUAGGGUUGUAAAGCUCUUUCAGCUGGGAAGAUAAUGACGGUACCAGCAGAAGAAGCCCCGGCUAACUCCGUG
rnacentral:rRNA from 1 species